UACGUAGGGUGCGAGCGUUAAUCGGAAUUACUGGGCGUAAAGCGUGCGUAGGCGGUCCCGCAAGUCCGCUGUGAAAUCCCCGAGCUCAACUUGGGAAUGGCAGUGGAAACUAUGGAACUUGAAUCCGGCAGAGGGGGGUGGAAUGCCACGUGUAGCAGUGAAAUGCGUAGAGAUGUGGCGGAACACCGAUGGCGAAGGCAGCCCCCUGGGCCGAGAUUGACGCUCAGGCACGAAAGCGUGGGGAGCAAACAGG
rnacentral:rRNA from 1 species